rnacentral:rRNA from 1 species
UUUGGGGCUACUUGGAAAUGGGGGCAACCCUGCUCCAGCAAUGCCGCGUGUGUGAAGAAGGCCUGCGGGCUGUAAAGCACCCUCGUCUGGGAAGAUAAGUCUGGCGCUACUCUCGCUGGGCCUUGACGUUACUGACAGAUGAAGCACCGGCUAACUCUGUGCCAGCAGCCGCGGUAAUACAGAGGGUGCAAGCGUUAAUCGGAAUCACUGGGCGUAAAGCGUGCGUAGGUGGUCAUGCAAGUCGGGUGUGAAAUCCCCGGGCUCAACCUGGGAACUGCAUUCGAUACUACAUGGCUGGAGUAUGGUAGAGGGAAGUGGAAUUUCCGGUGUAGCGGUGAAAUGCGUAGAUAUCGGAAGGAACACCAAUGGCGAAGGCAGCUUUCCUGGACCAAUACUGACACUGAGGCACGAAAGCGUGGGUAGCAAACAGGAUUAGAUACCCUGGUAGUCCACGCCCUAAACGAUGAGAACUAGCCGUUGGAGGAUCUUAAUCCUCUAGUGGCGCAGCUAACGCGUUAAGUCUCUCCGCCUGGGGAGUACGGCCGCAAGGUUAAAAUUCAAAGGAA